AGCUCGAUAGCGUAACGGUAGCGCGUCUCUGUCCACUUACAGCAUUUACGGUGUUCGUCAUGGUUGACGGAAAGGUCUCGGUUCGACUCCGAGUCGAGCUA